rnacentral:rRNA from 1 species
UGGGGAAUAUUGGACAAUGGGCGAAAGCCUGAUCCAGCCAUGCCGCGUGUGUGAAGAAGGUCUUCGGAUUGUAAAGCACUUUAAGUUGGGAGGAAGGGCAUUAACCUAAUACGUUAGUGUUUUGACGUUACCGACAGAAUAAGCACCGGCUAACUCUGUGCCAGCAGCCGCGGUAAUACAGAGGGUGCAAGCGUUAAUCGGAAUUACUGGGCGUAAAGCGCGCGUAGGUGGUCUUUUAAGUUGGAUGUGAAAUCCCCGGGCUCAACCUGGGAACUGCAUUCAAAACUGACUGACUAGAGUAUGGUAGAGGGUGGUGGAAUUUCCUGUGUAGCGGUGAAAUGCGUAGAUAUAGGAAGGAACACCAGUGGCGAAGGCGACCACCUGGACUAAUACUGACACUGAGGUGCGAAAGCGUGGGGAGCAAACA